CUGGCGGCGUGCUUAACACAUGCAAGUCGAACGCGAAAGGGACUUCGGUCCUGAGUAAAGUGGCGCACGGGUGAGUAACGCGUAGAUAACCUGUCUUCAUGUCUGGAAUAAUACGCCGAAAGGGGUACUAAUACCGGAUAUUCUUGCUUUUCAUAAGUUAUGCAAGCAAAGGUGGCCUCUGCAUAUGCUACUGCAUGAAGAGGGGUCUGCGUACCAUUAGCUAGUAGGUGGGGUAAUGGCCUACCUAGGCGACGAUGGUUAGCGGGUCUGAGAGGAUGAUCCGCCACACUGGCACUGGAACACGGGCCAGACUCCUACGGGAGGCAGCAGUGAGGAAUAUUGCGCAAUGGGGGAAACCCUGACGCAGCGACGCCGCGUGAGUGAGGAAGGCCUUCGGGUCGUAAAGCUCUGUCAAGAGGAAAGAAGUGUACAAUGGCUAAUACCUGUUGUAUUUGACGGUACCUCUAAAGGAAGCACCGGCUAACUCCGUGCCAGCCGCCGC
rnacentral:rRNA from 1 species